CCUACGGGAGGCAGCAGUAGGGAAUCAUCCGCAAUGGACGAAAGUCUGACGGUGCAACGCCGCGUGAGUGAGGAAGGUCUUCGGAUCGUAAAACUCUGUUGUUAGGGAAGAACAAGUCCCGUUCGAAUAGGGCGGGGCCUUGACGGUACCUAACCAGAAAGCCACGGCUAACUACGUGCCAGCAGCCGCGGUA
rnacentral:rRNA from 1 species